UUCAGGCCUCAGGCCACACUUGGUUUUCUCAGGUUUCUCUGCACACAAAGGCCCAAAAUAAUUUUCCGUCAUGACCUGGCCAGGAAGUAGAGCCGGCUCUCAGGGUGGCCACUGAAAAUGGGCAUGUGAGCUUGGUUAUCUGUCCUUAGUGAGUUUUCCUGAUUUUGAAUUUAAAUCACAUACUGUGCGUGUCCGUUCCAGGAAAGGCAAUCAGUCAGUGAUCAGGACACCACAGAAGUGUGAUGACUUUGCAAGGCUGGAGACAUGCUUCCUCAGGAAGACGGAGAAUGACAGAAACAUUUCCUCUCCCUGGAGACAGGAUUCAGACAAAGUACAGUCAUGAGGGAAAGAUUUCACUGAGACACAAUUUAACCCAAAGCCCUAGCAAUGACAGUGUUAUAACCUAAAGUAUAGCUGACAAGUUCUUCUAUUCUCCUAAUGUAAACAAUAAUGCAUUGAGACACUUAUGCAGCAUUUACUUUGCAUGAGAAAAAGCAAGGAGGAUACCAAAAAUCUAGUAGUGAUAAAAGAAAUAAAGAAAGCUUUCUAGGAAACAAUGCUAUAAUUCUAGUUUAUGUUAUUCUCUCAAAUAAAGAUGCU